GCUAUUUUCAAUUCUCAAUCUGCAAGAUGAAUUAUUUCUUCUUCUUUCUUCAACCAAAGCAGCCCUAGCUGACAUUAUAUUAUUAUUAUUAUUCAAUUUUGAAUCAAAUGCACUACAAUCAAUCCAAUCUUUGAGUAAUUCUUCUUGUCCCCAAAUUUCUGGUAUCCAUACAUGUCCUGCCACUUCAAUUCUAUGUCUCUUCAAUCUUUCACGUCCACUAUCAUCUGUCCUCAUCGGUCCGCCCUCGUUAUGCGCGCCAACAUGUCCCACGUGCACGUUGAUCAUGUCUGACGUAGUUUCUGUAUUGUUGAAUUUUUCUUGAUCACGUUUAAUCGUGACGUUAUUUUUCUUGACUAGUAAAUUAUUAGGCCUUGUUGAUUCGGCCUUGUCAUUGUUAGGGUCGGGGCGUCUUGAGGGAUGUAUAGAAAAAAAUGAUGGAUUUUCACGUUCGUUCGUCAUAAUGAACGUGUCGUUGAAUUUGUUAUUGUUGAUAUUGAAUGAAUUUGAAGCAAAUUGUAGAAGGAAGAUUUUUUUUUGUGUGUGGUUUGGCUAGUCUCCACAAACUAUAGUAUUGGAGCUAGCCAAGAGGGAGUGUUGUUGAAGGGAGAAAUGAUGGUUUUAUUUUGGUGUCU
rnacentral:misc_RNA from 1 species